UUAGUGGCGAACGGGUGAGUAACACGUGGGCAAUCUGCCCUUCACUCUGGGACAAGCCCUGGAAACGGGGUCUAAUACCGGAUAACACUCCUGCCUGCAUGGGUGGGGGUUGAAAGCUCCGGCGGUGAAGGAUGAGCCCGCGGCCUAUCAGCUUGUUGGUGGGGUAAUGGCCUACCAAGGCGACGACGGGUAGCCGGCCUGAGAGGGCGACCGGCCACACUGGGACUGAGACACGGCCCAGACUCCUACGGGAGGCAGCAGUGGGGAAUAUUGCACAAUGGGCGAAAGCCUGAUGCAGCGACGCCGCGUGAGGGAUGACGGCCUUCGGGUUGUAAACCUCUUUCAGCAGGGAAGAAGCGCAAGUGACGGUACCUGCAGAAGAAGCGCCGGCUAACUACGUGCCAGCAGCCGCGGUAAUACGUAGGGCGCAAGCGUUGUCCGGAAUUAUUGGGCGUAAAGAGCUCGUAGGCGGCUUGUCACGUCGGAUGUGAAAGCCCGGGGCUUAACCCCGGGUCUGCAUUCGAUACGGGCUAGCUAGAGUGUGGUAGGGGAGAUCGGAAUUCCUGGUGUAGCGGUGAAAUGCGCAGAUAUCAGGAGGAACACCGGUGGCGAAGGCGGAUCUCUGGGCCAUUACUGACGCUGAGGAGCGAAAGCGUGGGGAGCGAACAGGAUUAGAUACCCUGGUAGUCCACGCCGUAAACGUUGGGAACUAGGUGUUGGCGACAUUCCACGUCGUCGGUGCCGCAGCUAACGCAUUAAGUUCCCCGCCUGGGGAGUACGGCCGCAAGGCUAAAACUCAAAGGAAUUGACGGGGGCCCGC
rnacentral:rRNA from 1 species